CUACGUGCCAGCAGCCGCGGUAAUACGUAGGGUGCGAGCGUUAAUCGGAAUUACUGGGCGUAAAGCGAGCGCAGACGGUUACUUAAGCAGGAUGUGAAAUCCCCGGGCUCAACCUGGGAACUGCGUUCUGAACUGGGUGACUAGAGUGUGUCAGAGGGAGGUAGAAUUCCACGUGUAGCAGUGAAAUGCGUAGAGAUGUGGAGGAAUACCGAUGGCGAAGGCAGCCUCCUGGGAUAACACUGACGUUCAUGCUCGAAAGCGUGGGUAGCAAACAGGAUUAGAUACCCUGGUAGUCCACGCCCUAAACGAUGUCAAUUAGCUGUUGGGCAACUUGAUUGCUUAGUAGCGUAGCUAACGCGUGAAAUUGACCGCCUGGGGAGUACGGUCGCAAGAUUAAAACUCAAAGGAAUUGACGGGGACCCGCACAAGCGGUGGAUGAUGUGGAUUAAUUCGACGCAACGCGAGAAACCUUACCAGCGUUUGACAUC
rnacentral:rRNA from 1 species